rnacentral:sRNA from 1 species
AGUUGGUUAGUUAUUCUGUUGGAUUAUAUAAUACUAGCUGAAUUCUGUCCCGCUUACUGGGAUAAUUUCAUUAAUGAAAGCAAGAAGGAUAAGAGAAAGGGUUCAUGCGGUUAGAAGAUCUAGAUGUCUACAUGUAUCCGGCCAGUGAUAAUCUUUCACAUCUUAGGGACAAAAAACAAAAAAAAAGAACAUAAGACGGCUGGCGCUGUGUCAACCGCGCCUGACACAAUCCUGACAAGCAGCCACUAGACGUCCCGCGAACCAGGGCCUACCGUUACAGGUGCGUUUUCAGAGACAGAAGAAUAGCUCUGGUCACUACCUUGUCCAUUCCUCCAAUUGGAAAACCUUUCGGCAAAUGAAGACAGACCAAGAGCAGAAUACCAGCUAAUCAGUAAAUGCUCUGCGUAAGGAAAAAAAACGAAAUAUGCGCAAUAGCUAAAACAUGGACUGUUCACGAGUUACAUCGCCACUUGAUGCUCGGUACUUUUGUCCGGAGCAUAUACAUUUUUCUUGCUGAGUUGUAAUAUAUUAUAACACACCUCAAAUUUCGUUCCAUCCUUAUGUGAUUUCUUAAUUUCUUUUUAUCACAUUGAAAAACAAUAUCGACUAAUCUCACCCUCCAUUCAUCUUUAAUCUUUCAUUUUUCGAAAUGUAAAAAUAUUCAAGAUAAUUGUGAAACAGCCCAAUCAUUGGGCGUAGCUAAUAGUGAAUUAAGUAAUUUACGAACUAGAACGA